CAACAGUGCUGAAACAACACUUCUUGGACAGAGCUUAAAACACUUAUACCUCUGGGUUAUGUAGACACGACCUUUGGAUGUCAUCAGCUGAACUUCAUCUGAGGAGUUUUGAAGACACGUCUGUCUUGCUCACAGACACAAAAAGUCUGUUUUGAGAAGUGGUGCAGACUCAUUUGCAGUUUUCAGACACUGGUCAGCACCAUAAGAGUUUGGACAAACCUCUUUUGAGUCACAAUUAUGGGGUGCAGCUCGAGCAAAGGAGUUCAGGUUGUGGACGCUACCAAGCAGCCUAAAGACAGGCCCGAUUCAGCAAGCUCAAAGUCAUCAGAUGAGGGAGAGGUGAAAUCAGCCUCAGAAGGAGAACAAGAUAAAGGAGGGGAGAAUGACUGACAUGUCCAUCUAUCCACCUGCACACACUAUUAAAUCCAAAGUCUCCCCCCAUGUUCUCCACACCUGUAGAAGAUUCUGGAUCCACACUACUCCUAUGUGUCCAUGCUAUGGACUUUAAUAUCCAUCUGAAAAAAUCCAACUAUUGCUAUUUACUUAUCAAGCUAAACAGCACACAUGGUCAAUAUGCCAAAGUAAAUAAUAGAUUUGCCAAAUAAUAAAGAUUUAUUAAAGAGGAAAA